rnacentral:rRNA from 1 species
GUAGGGUGCGAGCGUUAAUCGGAAUUACUGGGCGUAAAGCGUGCGCAGGCGGUUCGUCGUGUCCGAUGUGAAAACCCCGGGCUCAACCUGGGAAUGGCAUUGGAAACUGGCGGGCUUGAGUGUGGCAGAGGGGGGUGGAAUUCCGCGUGUAGCAGUGAAAUGCGUAGAGAUGCGGAGGAACACCGAUGGCGAAGGCAGCCCCCUGGGCUGACACUGACGCUCAGGCACGAAAGCGUGGGGAGCAAACAGGAUUAGAUACCCUGGUAGUCCUAGCCCUAAACGAUGAUUGCUUGGUGUAACAGGUACCCAAUCCUGUUGUGCCGAAGCUAACGCGAUAAGCAAUCCGCCUGGGGAGUACGGUCGCAAGGCUG